UUGCUCUUCAACGAGGAAUUCCUAGUAAGCGCAAGUCAUCAGCUUGCGUUGAUUACGUCCCUGCCCUUUGUACACACCGCCCGUCGCUACUACCGAUUGAAUGGCUUAGUGAGGCUUCAGGAUUGGCUUAUGGCGGGAGGCGACUCCUGCCUGGAGCCGAGAAUCUAGUCAAACUUGGUCAUUUAGAGGAAGUAAAAGUCGUAACAAGGUUUCCGUAGGUGAACCUGCGGAAGGAUCAUUAGAGAACCUGGGCCUGCGCUACUUGCGCGGCUCCAACCAAUACACAGUGUGUUAUACUUCUCUUGCUUUGGCUCUGCCAAAGGUUUUAAACACAGAAAUUUAUUUUCUCUAGAAACUAGUCAAUUUGAAUUUUAAUCUUCAAAACUUUCAACAACGGAUCUCUUGGUUCUCGCAACGAUGAAGAACGCAGCGAAAUGCGAUACGUAAUGUGAAUUGCAGGUUUUCGUGAAUCAUCGAAUCUUUGAACGCAUAUUGCGCUCUCUGGCAUUCCAGAGAGCAUGCCUGUUUGAGCGUCAUUUCUCUCUCAAGAUCCUCUAGGGGACUUGGUAUUGAGUGAUACUCUGUGUUAACUUGAAAUACUCUAGGCAGAGCUCCCCCUAGAAAUCCUCUGGGCCGAAAUAAUGUAUUAGGUUCUACCAACUCGUUAUUUUCCAGACAGACUUCCAGGCAGAGCUCGGCUGAACAACCUUUCUAAGCUUGACCUCAAAUCAGGUAGGACUACCCGCUGAACUUAAGCAUAUCAAUAAGCGGAGGA
rnacentral:rRNA from 1 species